CAGGUGCUGCAUGGCUGUCGUCAGCUCUGUCGUGAGAUGUUGGGUUAAGUCCCGCAACGAGCGCAUUGCCAUUAGUUGCUACAUUCAGUUGGGCACUCUAAUGGGACUGCCGGUGACAAACCGGAGGAAGGUGGGGAUGACGUCAAGUCCUCAUGGCCCUUAUAGGUGGGGCUACGUCAUACAAUGGCGGUACAAAGGGUUGCCAACUAAUCCCAUAAAGCCAGUCGUAGUCCGGAUCGCAGUCUGCAACUCGACUGCGUGAAGUCGGAAUCGCUAGUAAUCGUGGAUCAGAAUGUCACGGUGAAUACGUUCCCGGGUCACACCGCCCGUCACACCAUGGGAGCGGGUCUCGCCAGAAGUAAGGCGCCUAACCGCAGGAGGGCGCGGCAGGGUUCGUGACUGGGGUGAAGUCGUAACAAGGUAGCCGUAUCGGAAGGUGCGGCUGGAUCACUCCUUUC
rnacentral:rRNA from 1 species